rnacentral:rRNA from 1 species
UACGUAGGGUGCGAGCGUUGUCCGGAAUUAUUGGGCGUAAAGCGCGUGUAGGCGGCUUGGUAAGUCGGGUGUGAAAGCCCUCAGCUCAACUGAGGAAGUGCGCCCGAAACUACUGAGCUUGAGUGCCGGAGAGGGUGGCGGAAUUCCCCAAGUAGAGGUGAAAUUCGUAGAUAUGGGGAGGAACACCGGUGGCGAAGGCGGCCACCUGGACGGUGACUGACGCUGAGACGCGAAAGCGUGGGUAGCAAACAGG